UCCUAGAGAGAUCACUGCAGAGCUUCCCCCUUGCCAAGGCUGCCGUUGCUCUUGGGACCAGCUGAAUACAACGGGCACCCCACCCCAGCGCUGGUGAUCAGAGUUCACUGUCAUCUCCAAGCCAAAGGGAGCCAACCUUGGAAGCUCCCUGCUCUGACCUUUUGCUGGCUGAAGUCCGAAUGCUAAGACUGACCUCAGGAUGAGGCAGCAGUCUGUAUGCUGAUCUCUGCUCCAGUGUCAAUGCACAGGCCUCUCCAGGAAUGAGAGUCUACAUUUACAACUUGGUGAGGUGGGACCUAGAACACAUGGCUUCUAAGGUCACCUCCAGUUUCAGGCAGGUGGUGUGACUUGGGAAGUCCCUGGGAGUUUUGACCAAUUUACUCCUGGGAGAGUGAAUUAG
rnacentral:lncRNA from 1 species